rnacentral:rRNA from 1 species
GACGAACGCUGGCGGCGUGCUUAACACAUGCAAGUCGAACGAUGAAACCGGAGCUUGCUCCGGUGGAUUAGUGGCGAACGGGUGAGUAACACGUGAGUAACCUGCCCUUGACUCUGGGAUAACUGCGGGAAACUGUAGCUAAUACCGGAUACGACCCUCGGAGGCAUCUCCUGGGGGUGGAAAGAAUUUCGGUCAAGGAUGGGCUCGCGGCCUAUCAGCUAGUUGGUGAGGUAACGGCUCACCAAGGCGACGACGGGUAGCCGGCCUGAGAGGGGGGCCGGCCACACUGGGACUGAGACACGGCCCAGACUCCUACGGGAGGCAGCAGUGGGGAAUAUUGCACAAUGGGCGCAAGCCUGAUGCAGCAACGCCGCGUGAGGGAUGACGGCCUUCGGGUUGUAAACCUCUUUUAGCAGGGAAGAAGCGAAAGUGACGGUACCUGCAGAAAAAGCACCGGCUAACUACGUGCCAGCCGCCGCCGUAC